GAAAUCAGGGAGCAGUAGCAAGAUGGACUGGAGGCCUGUGGCAGGGAUAUUACUAUUUGCAGCGCUGUCCUGUUGCCAAAGGGUGGAGGUACAGGAUGCUGACCUCGCCAAACGAGACGCAAAUGAGUGUGGGGGAACCAUUGAUGGGGGAUUUGGAACCAUCACGUCCCCGGGUUUCCCUAUAGAGUACCCCAACAAGAAGAGAUGCGUCUGGACCGUCAGGGCACCUCC